rnacentral:rRNA from 1 species
UACGGGGGGAGCAAGCGUUGUUCGGAUUUACUGGGCGUAAAGGGCGCGUAGGCGGUCAGCACAAGUCAGUUGUGAAAUCUCCGGGCUUAACUCGGAAAGUCAACUGAUACUGUGCGACUAGAGUGCAGAAGGGGGCAACUGGAAUUCUCGGUGUAGCGGUGAAAUGCGUAGAUAUCGAGAGGAACACCUGCGGCGAAGGCGGG